rnacentral:tRNA from 1 species
GGGGGUAUGGUGAGUAUAGCGCAUGCCUAGCACGCACGAAGUCCUGGGUUCAAUUCCCAGUACCUCCA